AUUGAACGCUGGCGGCAGGCCUAACACAUGCAACUCGAGCGGAUGAAGGGAGCUUGCUCCUGGAUUCAGCGGCGGACGGGUGAGUAAUGCCUAGGAAUCUGCCUGGUAGUGGGGGAUAACGUCCGGAAACGGGCGCUAAUACCGCAUACGUCCUGAGGGAGAAAGUGGGGGAUCUUCGGACCUCACGCUAUCAGAUGAGCCUAGGUCGGAUUAGCUAGUUGGUGGGGUAAAGGCCUACCAAGGCGACGAUCCGUAACUGGUCUGAGAGGAUGAUCAGUCACACUGGAACUGAGACACGGUCCAGACUCCUACGGGAGGCAGCAGUGGGGAAUAUUGGACAAUGGGCGAAAGCCUGAUCCAGCCAUGCCGCGUGUGUGAAGAAGGUCUUCGGAUUGUAAAGCACUUUAAGUUGGGAGGAAGGGCAGUAAGUUAAUACCUUGCUGUUUUGACGUUACCAACAGAAUAAGCACCGGCUAACUUCGUG
rnacentral:rRNA from 1 species